rnacentral:rRNA from 1 species
UGGGGAAUUUUGGACAAUGGGCGCAAGCCUGAUCCAGCCAUACCGCGUGGGUGAAGAAGGCCUUCGGGUUGUAAACCGCUUUUGUACGGAGCGAAAAGGUCUGCCCUAAUACGGUGGGCUCAUGACGGUACCGUAAGAAUAAGCACCGGCUAACUACGUGCCAGCAGCCGCGGUAAUACGUAGGGUGCGAGCGUUAAUCGGAAUUACUGGGCGUAAAGCGUGCGCAGGCGGUUAUGCAAGACAGAUGUGAAAUCCCCGGGCUCAACCUGGGAAUUGCCUUUGUGACUGCAAGGCUUGAGUGCGGCAGAGGGGGAUGGAAUUCCGCGUGUAGCAGUGAAAUGCGUAGAUAUGCGGAGGAACACCGAUGGCGAAGGCAAUCCCCUGGACCUGUACUGACGCUCAUGCACGAAAGCGUGGGGAGCAAACA